rnacentral:rRNA from 1 species
AGUGAACGCUGGCGGUAGGCCUAACACAUGCAAGUCGAACGGCAGCACAGUAAGAGCUUGCUCUUACGGGUGGCGAGUGGCGGACGGGUGAGGAAUACAUCGGAAUCUGCUUUUUCGUGGGGGAUAACGUAGGGAGACUUACGCUAAUACCGCAUACGACCUACGGGUGAAAGCAGGGGAUCUUCGGACCUUGCGCGAUUGAAUGAGCCGAUGUCGGAUUAGCUAGUUGGCGGGGUAAAGGCCCACCAAGGCGACGAUCCGUAGCUGGUCUGAGAGGAUGAUCAGCCACACUGGAACUGAGACACGGUCCAGACUCCUACGGGAGGCAGCAGUGGGGAAUAUUGGACAAUGGGCGCAAGCCUGAUCCAGCCAUACCGCGUGGGUGAAGAAGGCCUUCGGGUUGUAAAGCCCUUUUGUUGGGAAAGAAAAGCAGCAGGUUAAUACCCCGCUGUUCUGACGGUACCCAAAGAAUAAGCACCGGCUAACUUCGUG